rnacentral:lncRNA from 1 species
AUGAAGAUCGAUGUUCUCUUCUCUUUCUUACUGAGCGCACUGCAAAUGAUUUUCCAGAAGAAAAUAUAAACAUGAGUGAACUUCAAAUGAACAUCCCGAGAAACAAAUUGACGUUUUUUGUCGACCGCAGCAGCGCGCUGCAUGCUGCUAGCUCAUGAACUACAACCUGAAGCUGAAGAAUAGACAAAAAACUAGUAGCAAUCUGGGCUAAAAUUAUCCACCCCAAAAAUGAAUAAGUGAACAAAACUGCACAUUCAUCCGCCACACCGUCCUGCACACACGUGCUUGCCGGACUGCAUAGCCACGUU